CCUACGGGAGGCAGCAGUGGGGAAUAUUGCACAAUGGGCGAAAGCCUGAUGCAGCCAUGCCGCGUGUGUGAAGAAGGCUCUAGGGUUGUAAAGCACUUUCAGCAGGGAGGAAAGGUUGUAAAUUAAUACUUUGCAGCUGUGACGUUACCUGCAGAAGAAGCACCGGCUAACUCCGUGCCAGCAGCCGCGGUAAUACGGAGGGUGCAAGCGUUAAUCGGAAUUACUGGGCGUAAAGCGCGCGUAGGCGGUUUGUUAAGCUGGAUGUGAAAGCCCCGGGCUCAACCUGGGAACUGCAUUCAGAACUGGCAGGCUGGAGUAUUGGAGAGGUGAGUGGAAUUUCCCGUGUAGCAGUGAAAUGCGUAGAUAUGGGAAGGAACACCAGUGGCGAAGGCGACUCACUGGCCAAAUACUGACGCUGAGGUGCGAAAGCGUGGGGAGCAAACGGGAUUAGAUACCCCGGUAGUCCACGCCGUAAACGAUGUCUACUAGCCGUUGGCCUCCUUGAGAGGUUAGUGGCGCAGCUAACGCACUAAGUAGACCGCCUGGGGAGUACGGCCGCAAGGUUAAAACUCAAAUGAAUUGACGGA
rnacentral:rRNA from 1 species